rnacentral:rRNA from 1 species
UAGUGGAUGAAGGUUUUCGGAUCGUAAAGCUCUGUUGUUAGGGAAGAACAAGUGCCGUUCAAAUAGGGCGGCACCUUGACGGUACCUAACCAGAAAGCCACGGCUAACUACGUGCCAGCAGCCGCGGUAAUACGUAGGUGGCAAGCGUUGUCCGGAAUUAUUGGGCGUAAAGGGCUCGCAGGCGGUUUCUUAAGUCUGAUGUGAAAGCCCCCGGCUCAACCGGGGAGGGUCAUUGGAAACUGGGGAACUUGAGUGCAGAAGAGGAGAGUGGAAUUCCACGUGUAGCGGUGAAAUGCGUAGAGAUGUGGAGGAACACCAGUGGCGAAGGCGACUCUCUGGUCUGUAACUGACGCUGAGGAGCGAAAGCGUGGGGAGCGAACAGGAUUAGAUACCCUGGUAGUCCACGCCGUAAACGAUGAGUGCUAAGUGUUAGGGGGUUUCCGCCCCUUAGUGCUGCAGCUAACGCAUUAAGCACUCCGCCUGGGGAGUACGGUCGCAAGACUGAAACUCAAAGGAAUUGACGGGGGCCCGCACAAGCGGUGGAGCAUGUGGUUUAAUUCGAAGCAACGCGAAGAACCUUACCAGGUCUUGACAUCCUCUGACAAUCCUAGAGAUAGGACGUCCCCUUCGGGGGCAGAGUGACAGGUGGUGCAUGGUUGUCGUCAGCUCGUGUCGUGAGAUGUUGGGUUAAGUCCCGCAACGAGCGCAACCCUUGAUCUUAGUUGCCAGCAUUCAGUUGGGCACUCUAAAGGUGACUGCCGGUGACAAACCGGGAGGAAGGGUGGGGGAUGACGUCAAAUCAUCAUGCCCCCUUUAUGACCCUGGGCUAC